GCGUCAGCGCGCGAUGGAGGAGCUCUCGAGGCUGCGCGACGACGCGACGACGGCGAAGGAGGAGUCGGAGCGCGCGAAGAAGACGGCGGAGGAGGCGGAUUUUUUGCGCGCGGCGACGGAGACCGAGCUCGCGAAGACGCGGCGAGACCUCGACGACGCGAACGCGCGCGCGUCCGCGACGGAAAGCGAGCUCGCGAAGACGCGGCGAGACCUCGACGACGCGAACGCGCGCGCGUCCGCGACGGAGAGUGAGCUCGCGAAGACGCGGCGAGACCUCGACGACGCCAACGCGUCCGCGUCCGCGUCCGCGACGACGACGCGCGACGAGGCGACGCGAGAGGCGCGAGAGAGCGCCGCGCGCGAGAUGGAGGAAACGCGCGCGACGCUGACGGCGCG
rnacentral:lncRNA from 1 species